GACGGAGGGUGCUAGCGUUGUUCGGAAUCACUGGGCGUAAAGGGCGCGUAGGCGGCCUUGCAAGUCGGUUGGUGAAAGCCCGGGGCUCAACCCCGGAGGUGCGGCCGAGACUGCAGGCUGGAGGCCGGAAGAGGAGGGUGGAAUACCCAGUGUAGAGGUGAAAUUCGUAGAUAUUGGGUGGAACACCGGUGGCGAAAGCGGCUCUCGUGGUCCGGACCUGACGCUGAGGCGCGAAAGCGUGGGGAGC
rnacentral:rRNA from 1 species